ACUCACAGUAGGGCCCUCCAGGGCUCACCUGAGGGCCAGCCAUCGCUUGGGCUGCAUGCUGAGAACGAAUUCUGUGUGGCCAGAGAGCUGCAUCACCAGUUGGAGAAACUUUAGGCAACAGAAGAACCAGGAGCAACUCUGACCCUUCUUGAAAUCAAACAAAGACAGUGACCAUGAUUUGGAGAAACUUUUCUGCUUCAGUGGCAUCCUAUGGAUGUGUGAGCUGUUUAUCAUUUUCAUCAAUUACAAGAAGGAUGUGGUGAAGAUGUUACAUUCUCAGCUCAGGCUGAGAGACAAGCUUCAAUUGUAAUCCAGUGUUCUUAGCUCCCAGGAGAAGGCAGAUUUCCACAGUGCUAAUUGAGAACUGUUCUAAGAAUGACCAUCAGAAGUUCCUAAAACUGCAAGUCGAAAGACAUUACGUUGCUAUAAACAUAACAGCUUAUGUGUUGUUGUUGGUUUUUAUUUAGGAAAGCACAUAUCAUUACAUUUUUCAGUCUCAUGUUCAGUUCUUAUGCAAGUCAUGUAAUGCAGUUGUGUUUUUGCUAAAUUCAACUUGAAUUCCCUUCUGUACAAUACGCUUCCUGUGCCAUUUUAUUCUGAAGUUCUCAGUAUUCAACUUACCUACAAGUUGUCUAGCUAAGUGCAGUCCGUGUAUGGUACUUCCAAACCAAAAUGCUGCCUCCAGAGUAUUGACUAGGUACUUAGCACUGGCUUAUUCCUGUGGCCAUGUGCUAAGCCAUACUGAACUUGAAUUUCUUUGUUCAUGUACCUGUUCUUGUUCCACCUUCCUUGCAGCUGUGUCAUACAGCCCUCUUUUAUUGUGGCAAUUAGUUAUAUGUGGCUGGGAUUUAUCACUUUCUGAAUGAAGAUGUUGAGUUGUUGACAAGGACUGUGAAGGCAUGGAGAUUUUCUCUUUCCCUGUGCCGCACUCUGUAUCCCAGGAGCAAAGAGAUGCUCAGAGUGUGGCAAUGAGUUGGCUGAGGGGUGUGUUUGGUGGAAAUAACAGCUUGAAGGAUGUUGUAUCCUCCUCUGCAAGAUACCUCUGUUUCAUAGUUCUCUUAUUUUUUUCUCUCUUACAUCCCUGCUGUAUAAAAGAAUUUGCACUGUAAUGAUUUAGCCAUUCCAGGA